CCAAUGUUGCUUCUGAAACUGCAUCAAGUCAGGAAUUAGGCUGCAGGGAGCUGAGUGGUGCCGAGCUCCACGCUAGGGACACAGAAAUGACAUCAUCCCCACUGUGACAGACUCCAGCCCAGAUAACGUGAUAUGGAGCCGUGGAUACUGGUUUAGAAAUGGAGAAUCGUCCUGCAGGGACCCUGCACCCUGACAACCAGCCCGGAGCAGGUGCACCACAGGUCUUGGGUGAUGAAAUGCAGCCCAGAGGAGUUAAGCUACUUGUCCAGGGAAACACUGCUACACAGGGUGGACAGCCAAUGCACCGGUAGCAGCCUACUUGGGACUCUGUGCUUUACCACCGUGCAAAUGACCUGUGUGUGAGCUUGGCGUGCAUUUGCUCAGUUGUUUAUCCAUUUCUGAGUGGCCUGUUAAGAACUGUGAGGCUGUUGGUGCUUCAGGUUGAGAGGGACAGCCAGGCCACAGUGCUGAUGACUGCAACCAGAGGGGGAAGAGCACAUGCCAGCUCUGUCUUGUGUAGCAGCCACCUGAAUGUGCAGGAAGCAUUGGUUUUCCUCUGGCAGCUGAGUGCUGUGCAGUGCCAAGUACGAG